rnacentral:rRNA from 7 species
GGUGGUUUGUCGCGUUGUUCGUGAAAACUCACAGCUUAACUGUGGGCGUGCGGGCGAUACGGGCAGACUAGAGUACUGCAGGGGAGACUGGAAUUCCUGGUGUAGCGGUGGAAUGCGCAGAUAUCAGGAGGAACACCGGUGGCGAAGGCGGGUCUCUGGGCAGUAACUGACGCUGAGGAGCGAAAGCGUGGGGAGCGAACAGGAUUAGAUACCCUGGUAGUCCACGCCGUAAACGGUGGGUACUAGGUGUGGGUUUCCUUCCUUGGGAUCCGUGCCGUAGCUAACGCAUUAAGUACCCCGCCUGGGGAGUACGGCCGCAAGGCUAAAACUCAAAGGAAUUGACGGGGGCCCGCACAAGCGGCGGAGCAUGUGGAUUAAUUCGAUGCAACGCGAAGAACCUUACCUGGGUUUGACAUGCACAGGACGACUGCAGAGAUGUGGUUUCCCUUGUGGCCUGUGUGCAGGUGGUGCAU